rnacentral:rRNA from 1 species
UACGGAGGGUGCAAGCGUUAUCCGGAUUUACUGGGUUUAAAGGGUGCGUAGGUGGGCAUGUAAGUCAGUGGUGAAAUCUCCGGGCUUAACCCGGAAACUGCCAUUGAUACUAUCUGUCUUGAAUAUCCUGGAGGUGAGCGGAAUAUGUCAUGUAGCGGUGAAAUGCUUAGAUAUGACAUAGAACACCAAUUGCGAAGGCAGCUCACUACGGGAUUAUUGACACUGAGGCACGAAAGCGUGGGGAUCAAACAGG